GGUGGCUUAGUAGUAGAGUGCUUGCCUGGCAUGCAUGAGGUGCUGGGUUCGAUUCCUCAGCACCA
rnacentral:tRNA from 1 species